rnacentral:piRNA from 1 species
UGGUUCUUCUGAAUCCUCUAUGACUAGAAU